CUUACCUAUCAUGGGCCAUGUCCUCGGAAACCCGCAUUCUAGCCAUGUCAUGCCUAAUCACCUCUCCCCAAUACCUCUUAGGCCUCCCUCUGCCUCGCCGAACGCCGCGAACCACCUCAGCCUCGAUUCUCGCAUCUUCUCAUCCACCGGGGCCACCCUCACCUUCUCUCGAAUAAUUUCAUUCUUAAUCUUAUCUAACCUGGUGAACCCGCACAUCCACCGGAGCAUCCUCAUCUCCGCAACCUUCAGUCUCUGAACAUGAGAGUUCUUCACUGGCCAGCACUCCGCCCCAUACA
rnacentral:lncRNA from 1 species